CUCUUUUCUCCCUAGAACUAACAAUAUUGAAAAUGUCCACCGGCCACUUAUUUCUGAAGCCUCCAAUUGGUGAUCAGAAAAGAGUCUCUGAGGAUUCUAAAGCGAGCAUCGACCAACAGAACGGCAACAACUCCAGGUCCCAAUCAAUGAGUUCCAAAAAUAGUGCCACUCCCCUCCAGCCCAAGAAGGAGAGAGGAAAGGAAAAAAAGAAUGGCAGAGGCGGCAAUGAGUUCACAAUUGCUAAGAAUACAAUAAAUGGGAGUAAAUCCGACAGGGUAGGAAUUUUUGGGUUUGGCAACACCCACACGUAUUUAAAAAGCCAUGGCAAAGAAAAACAAGUUCAGUCCAGCAGCGAAGAAGACGAAGAAGCAGUGAACUGAGGUUAAUUAUGUGUAGUCCGUUUUUAAUUUAUGCAAUAUUAAAUUUUUUUGGUAAUUUGGUGAGAUUAUGUUAUGUUAUUAAAUGGACUCUCUUCUAUUUAUUAAAAAUAUAUUAUUAAAAGGCAUUGCUAUUGCCAUUCCGAAUUAGCGAUUGCGUGCCAUCGUGGUUUUGCUUGUAAUUUUCCUCUUUUC
rnacentral:lncRNA from 1 species